UCCACUAGGCCAUCCUGCUUCUCAGCAGAGAUUCCCUCUGAUUUCACACCCGCAAACACACCGGAGAAUUAGCAGAAGAGCUAGGGAGAGAACCGAUCUGGGAAAGCUUCGUGAAGGUGACUUACAGUGGAGGGAAAAGUGGUGACUGUCAGUAUGAAAAUCCAUCCACGGGAGGUGUCUAUUUUGGGGAGCAAGACCAAGAUGACAACUGUGCGUCUCAACUCAUAACUUGUAUGAACAAAAAGGCUCCUGUGAAAAGAAGCAACAUGGAGAAGGGCAGAUCCUUUGAUUCCUCUGAAGUAGGAAUUGGAUGAACGUACCUGAAGAAAUGAUCAUUUUACAGCCAUUUCUGUUUAGUAAUUUGUUCAGCAAAAGGAUUAAUAUCUUUUAGGAGUAGAAAAAGUUUAUUUUGCAGUUGUCCGCUUUUAGUAUAUGAUUUCAUGCCAAGAUUAAAGAGGAAGGAAUCAAUGCUAACCUUGUCUGUUGA